CUCUAUUCUAUUCUAUUCUAUUCAGUUCUGUUUUAUUCUAUUCAGUUCUGUUUUAUUCUAUUCUAUUCUAUUCUAACUGGUGUGUGUUUUGCAGAGGGGUGGAGCGCUGAUCAACACCGCUGUGACAAAGGCCAAGAGUCAUGCCAAGAGGGGUAUCCGGGACAUUAAGGGCAGACUCAAAGCAAGGGAUGAAGAAGAAGAGGG